UCACCUGGGCUGCCGCUGUUGCUUCAGUUCUGCUCCCCGGGAGCUCCAGCCACCUUCUCCCUCUCCCCCCACCCACAUAUCGCCGCUCCCACCGGCCCGCUGACUCAGACUGGACCGACGUCGGGCCGACACCACGGACAUUUUGGCUUCAUCCAGCAGACGACAGGCCGCCCCUGAAGGACUUUGUGCGGAGAGGCAACCUCAGAGUCAGGAAGAUUCGUCUUGGCAGGGGUUGCUUGGGCGAGUGGGGCGCCAGCGAAACUUCUGGAUUCGAUCCCAGAGCCGGCGCCCUUUGAAACGAUGGCGCUCUGCUGCCACCUAGAGGCCGCCAGCCUCUACGACAGGAAGCGGUUUACCGGGAGUGGACCCUUCUGGAACAAAUCUGGGAACGGAAAAUCGCCCGGUGACUUGAUAGGCCUGCUUUAAAAGAAAACAAAACAAAACAAAAACACGGUGGCUGUGCUGGAGCUUCCAGGGCUGGCCUGGGAUUCCAUGCCCUGCCUUGAAAGAAUGCGGCUUAUAAGGAAGUUCUUGAGUUGCUUCAGGUAUAAAAGCUCCUGGGAUGGUCUGGAUCCGGGCAGAUCAGCAUCUUUGCCAAAACACAGGCUUGUCCGUUCUCAGGGGAAGAAGGGACAGACAAGUUCUUGCUUCAAAUGCCCUUGUGAGGAAGGCAGAGCCUCUUCAGCGGCACACAGGAGCGCGGUUGGCAAUGCCCCCCCACCCCCACCCCCAGUCCACCUGCACAGUUAAAAUCAACCAGAUGUCCUUGAAGGCAGACAUGAGUUCCAGUUGAUUGGAUGAAGACACAUUCAGGUAAAUGCCCCUUGAGAAGAAACCUCAAUCCCCAACCCAGCUGAAACGGGGUUAGAGAUUUCACACAUAACCAUCAUUCUUGUCCUCAGCUUCACAUUUCUAACAUAGAAAGCCAAUCCCGGGCCGGCGCCACGGCUCACUAGGCUAAUCCUCUGCCUUGCGGCGCCGGCACACCGGGUUCUAGUCCCGGUCGGGGUGCCAGAUUCUGUCCCAGUUGCCCCUCUUCCAGGCCAGCUCUCUGCUGUGGCCAGGGAGUGCAGUGGAGGAUGGCCCAAGUCCUUGGGCCCUGCACCCCAUGGGAGACCAGGAGAAGCACCUGGCUCCUGCCACCGGAUCAGCGCGGUGCGCUGGCUGCGGCGGCCAUUGGAGGGUGACCCAACGGCAAAGGAAGACCUUUCUCUCUGCUCUGUCUCUCUCUCUCACUGUCCACUCUUCCUGUCAAAAAUAAAAUAAAAAUAGAAAGCCA
rnacentral:lncRNA from 1 species